ACUCCGUGGCGCAACGGUAGCGCGUCCGACUCCAGAUCGGAAGGUGCGUGUUCAAACAUGUCGGCGUCA
rnacentral:tRNA from 1 species